rnacentral:rRNA from 1 species
UACGUAGGUGGCGAGCGUUGUCCGGAUUUACUGGGCGUAAAGAGCGCGCAGGCGGUCGUUCAAGUCGCGUGUGAAAGCCCCCCGGCUCAACUGGGGAGGGUCACGCGAUACUGAUCGACUCGAAGGCAGGAGAGGGAAGUGGAAUUCCCGGUGUAGUGGUGAAAUGCGUAGAUAUCGGGAGGAACACCAGUGGCGAAGGCGACUUCCUGGCCUGUUCUUGACGCUGAGGCGCGAAAGCUAGGGGAGCAAACAGG